rnacentral:rRNA from 1 species
GUGCAAGCGUUAAUCGGAAUUACUGGGCGUAAAGCGUGCGCAGGCGGGUUUGUAAGCCAGAUGUGAAAGCCCCGGGCUUAACCUGGGAAUGGCAUUUGGGACUGCAAGGCUUGAGUGCGGCAGAGGAGACUGGAAUUCCUGGUGUAGCAGUGAAAUGCGUAGAUAUCGGGAAGAACACCCGUGGCUAAGGCGGCUCUCUAGUACGGUACUGACGCUGAGACGCGAAAGCGUGGGGAGCGAACAGG